GUCCACGCCGUAAACGUUGGGCACUAGGUGUGGGAUGCUGUCAACGCCUUCCGUGCCGUAGCUAACGCAUUAAGUGCCCCGCCUGGGGGAGUACGGCCGCAAGGCUAAAACUCAAAGGAAUUGACGGGGGCCCGCACAAGCGGCGGAGCAUGUUGCUUAAUUCGAUGCAACGCGAAGAACCUUACCUGGGUUUGACAUGUAGGGAAAAGCCAUAGAGAUAUGGUGUCCUUCGGGGCCCUACACAGGUGGUGCAUGGCUGUCGU
rnacentral:rRNA from 1 species